rnacentral:rRNA from 1 species
GUGGGGAAUAUUGGUCAAUGGGGGAAACCCUGAACCAGCAACGCCGCGUGAAGGAAGAAGGCUUUCGGGUUGUAAACUUCUUUUAUGUGGGACGAAAAAAAUGACGGUACCACAUGAAUAAGCCACGGCUAACUACGUGCCAGCAGCCGCGGUAAUACGUAGGUGGCAAGCGUUGUCCGGAUUUACUGGGUGUAAAGGGCGCGUAGGCGGAUGUGCAAGUCAGAUGUGAAAUACCAGGGCUCAACCCUGGGGCUGCAUUUGAAACUGUGCAUCUUGAGUGAUGGAGAGGCAAGCGGAAUUCCUAGUGUAGCGGUGAAAUGCGUAGAUAUUAGGAGGAACACCAGUGGCGAAGGCGGCUUGCUGGACGACAACUGACGCUGAGGCGCGAAAGCGUGGGGAGCAAACAGGAUUAGAUACCCCAGUAGUCC